UGAAGCAGCGGCGUCCUACCGCCAUUAAAGCCGCAGAAGAAGAACAGCCGCGUUGUGAGGCUCCGGUGUAAACAAACCGACUGAACCGGUUACCGGCUGUCACCGCGGGGCCCAGGAGGCGAUGGACGGAGUCUACUCUGUGGUGCUGCUGGCUGUCGUGGUCUUGUCCUGGUCCUACGUGAUCUACGCCAGCAGGGUCGCAGCUCAUUGGCUGCUGGAGGAGAGGACCGCCCUCCUGCAGCAGCACUGACAGCUCAUUGGACGGCCGACACAGACUGAAAGACUUGACCAGUAGAGACCAUCAGAGACCAUCAGAGACCAUUAUAGACGGACCUCCUGGACCACGUUGUGGAGACACGUCAGGACUGAACCUGGACUUUAAAAGCUUGGACGAGUCUGAACGGAAAGAUGAGGACAAUAACUAUUUAUCUUUAUUUGGAAAGAUUUGAACUCACUUUCGCUGAUUCAAUACUUUCAGUCUCAUGUGUGUAAUACGUUUUAUUUAUUGAAUAUGUAUAAAUGUUAUUUAUUGAAUAUGUAAAAAAGCACUAGAGCUCAAAAGAUCAAUCGAUCCAUCAUCCAACAAACAUAAACUAUUUUCACAAUAGAGUGGUCGAUGUUUUUUUACUAUUUUAUUGAUUUAAUAAAGACAUUAAGUAACAAACUUCCCUCAUCAGCUCUGGACAGAAGCACGCUAACUGUUUCCCUCUGUUUACAGUCUUUAUGCUAAGCUAAGCUAGCUGUUUCCCUCUGUUUCCUGUCUUUAUGCUAAGCUAAGAUAGCUGUUUCCCUCUGUUUAGUCUUUAUGCUAAGCUAAGCUAGCUGUUUCCCUCUGUUUCCUGUCUUUAUGCUAAGCUAAGAUAGCUGUUUCCCUCUGUUUAGUCUUUAUGCUAAGCUAAGAUAGCUGUUUCCCUCUGUUUAGUCUUUAUGCUAAGCUAAGUUAGCUGUUUCCCUCUGUUUACAGUCUUUAUGCUAAGCUAACCAAACCAACUGCUGUAGAGAGACACAAGUGAAUCAAUGUAAACGUUUGACUUGAAGAGAAUAAAAUGUAUUUCUUUAUAAAUGUCAUCAUGUCUUAUUAAACCAGGAGAUCCUCCUGUUGUGUUUU